AGAGUUUGAUCCUGGCUCAGAGCGAACGCUGGCGGCGUGCUUAACACAUGCAAGUCGAACGGGUGUAGCAAUACACUCGUGGCGAACGGGUGCGUAACACGUGGAUAACCUUCCUUGAGGUGGGGAAUAACCCAGUGAAAAUUGGGCUAAUACCGCAUAACACAGCGAUGGCACAUGCUGAUGCUGUCAAAGGAGCAAUUCGCCACAAGAGGGAUCCGCGGCCGAUUAGCUAGUUGGUGAGGUAACGGCUCACCAAGGCAAUGAUCGGUAGCCGGACUGAGAGGUUGACCGGCCACACUGGAACUGAGACACGGUCCAGACUCCUACGGGAGGCAGCAGUGGGGAAUCUUGCACAAUGGGCGAAAGCCUGAUGCAGCAACGCCGCGUGGGGGAUGAAGCUUCUCGGAGUGUAAACCCCUUUCGACCCGGACGAAUGCCCGCAAGGGCUUGACGGUACGGGUAUAAGAAGCCCCGGCUAACUACGUGCCAGCAGCCGCGGUAAGACGUAGGGGGCCAGCGUUGCUCGGAAUUACUGGGCGUAAAGGGUCCGUAGGCGGUGCGGUAAGUCGGGAGUGAAAUCUCUGGGCUUAACUCAGAGGCUGCUUCCGAAACUACCGUGCUCGAGUGCGAGAGAGGCAAGUGGAAUUGCGGGUGUAGCGGUGAAAUGCGUAGAUAUCCGCAGGAACAUCCGAGGCGAAAGCGGCUUGCUGGAUCGCAACUGACGCUGAGGGACGAAAGCUAGGGGAGCAAACAGGAUUAGAUACCCUGGUAGUCCUAGCCCUAAACCAUCACGACUUGGGGUUUGUCCUGUACGGGGCAAGUCCCGGAGCUAACGCGUUAAGUCGUGCGCCUGGGGAGUACGGUCGCAAGACUGAAACUCAAAGGAAUUGACGGGGGCCCGCACAAGCGGUGGAACAUGUGGUUCAAUUCGACGCAACGCGAAGAACCUUACCUGGGCUUGAACCGCACAGGACCCUCCCUGGAAACAGGGACUUCCCGCAAGGG
rnacentral:rRNA from 1 species